CACGUAGGGUGCGAGCGUUGUCCGGAAUUAUUGGGCGUAAAGCGUCCGUAGGUGGCUGUUCAAGUCUGCCGUUAAAGACCGGGGCUUAACCCUGGAAAGGCGGUGGAAACUGAGCGGCUAGAGUGCAGUAGGGGUAGAGGGAAUUCCCAGUGUAGCGGUGAAAUGCGUAGAGAUUGGGAAGAACACCGGUGGCGAAAGCGCUCUGCUGGACUGCAACUGACACUGAGGGACGAAAGCUAGGGGAGCGAAUGGG
rnacentral:rRNA from 1 species